UCUCUCUCCCUUAUUGUAGCCUUGAAUAAAGGCUUUGCCUUUCAAACUCUGUCCUGCCCAUUUUUCUUUGACAUGUUCAGAUGUUGGCAAGGCUGAAAACUGCAGGGGAUCUGGUUGUGAUAAUCCAGGUACAUGCCCCAAGGAAAUGAGGCUACAUGAGGACCCAGCAAGAAGGUGGCUGUCUGCAAGCCAGCAAGAGAGCCCUCCCCAGAAACUGAACCAGCUAGAACCACGGUCUUGGACUUCCAGCCUCCAGAACCGUUAUUCUAGGUUGACUUCCAUGUCUGGAUGUAACCAAAUCACCAGCCAGACCUUGACCAGGACACAUCAUACCGCUUGCCCCCGGCAGAGAUGCUGUGCCCACGUGUGAUAAGCUCCCAGGAGACCACAGGCUACUCGGAGGCAGGACCAAGUGGUGUACAUAAUGACCAGACAGCCACAAAGAGUCGCUUGCUCAGACAGGUGUUCAGCAACCCUUCCCAGAGCAAAACAUACCUGUCUUGCCCACUGCAGAGUAACUGCAAGGCAGCGCACUGCUCCUCUGGGGUCUCAGACCCAAUGGCAGCCUUACAAGAACAAACUCAAGCUGUUUUAAAAAAUAUUGUUAAACAACAAAUCUCUCCUCUCUAAAUGACAUUUAAUGCUUCAAAGAUCAAGAGAAGGCAACUUCUUUGUGGCUGGGCAUGCAAACAACCUGAGUUCUUCAGGGCUCUGGGUAUGGGUUACAAGAUUCAUCGUGACUCAAUUCUCCAAUCCACCGAGUUUUGGAGGACACAGGCAGUGUGUCACUGAAGAUGGACUGCCAACCCCCAAUUAAACUGUUCUGGAUGGCUACUGGUGGUGACCUUCAGGUGACAUUGGUCAAGCCUCAAAGGAGUGUGGCCAUCCAACCCUAGCAGAGUUUG
rnacentral:antisense_RNA from 1 species